UUCAUUAAUUACAUGCUUUCAUGAAAUGCGCCACAGCACAAACAUUUCACAUCUCGGAUUGGACAUGACCUCAAAACUCCCUCUGUCGGUGCCCGGCCCCCAAAGGAGCUCACACAGGUCUUAUCUAGACAUAAUGCCCGGCCCCUCUAAAGGAGCUCACACAGAACUUUCAAUCAUGACAGAUCUAUGGGCUAUUGAAGUCGCCUGGGUCCAAUCCACACCAACAGCAAGUAAUGCAAUGCGUCAUAUACGUGAAACUAUUGCAAUCAACCUGUUACAUAUAACCAUGAUGCAUG
rnacentral:lncRNA from 1 species